rnacentral:lncRNA from 1 species
CUUGCCUUGGGCCCUGGUGGACUGUGACAAUCUAUGUUAGUUGCUAGUGGCUAGUAUGUAUAUAGAGAACCAGCAUUUGAUAGGGCAAUCAACUUAUCAAACAAUCCAAAUCAAAGUGGUUGUACCUGCUCAAAACAAAACAAAAAAUCCCCCCCCCCCGCAUUUAUCUACCUAAAAGAAUAGAGGCCAUCUCCAGCCCCAUGCAUAAAAUGGUCACACAUGUGCCUGACUUAUGACUUGCCAGAUCAUUUUAGUCCUUUUCACAGUCAGCCUGGGCUGGUGUAGUGACUCCCCUGGCGUGUGAAGGUGGCUAACGUGAUGGGUCGCAUGUUCUGGCUCAUUGCUCAUUUCCAUGUGCAAUCGGUGCUGGACUGACUUAGAAGCAGCUUACGCUUCUUGCGGCCAAAGGAAUGCAGUUGUCUGGACUGGAGAGCCCUCGUGUCCUCCUACACACACUGUUAUUCAUUCAGGAGACAUUCAUCAAGUGCCCACAGUGUGCCAAACCCCUGAGCCAGGCAUUUGCAUGAUAAAACUGAGUUUCUGCCACUGAGGAUAUUCUUGGUCCUGACAAUGACUGUGAGAAUCUGGCCUGAUUAUGUGUAUCAAAGGCCUUAGAAAGCUUCACAGCUUUUGAACUAGUAAUUCUAUUUCUGGUUAUGUGUCCAAGGAAAUCAUGUCUAAUACCCCCCCAAAGUCUUUUGCCUGAGUAUUUGUAUAGUAGUUAAGGGUGCAAAACUUGGUGUCAAAUCAAGGUUUGACUUCGAAAGCCCUUUGGUUUUGUUAUCUGUUCAAUGGGGGAUAAUAGCCAUUUCAUAAGGAGAUUGUGAGUUUUAAGUAAAAAAUCAUUGACAAAUAUAAUGAAUAUAAAGGGCCAAGCACACUGCUUGGGAGAAGCAAGGAUUGAAAAACUUUAGCUGUUAUUAUUGGCAUUAUUAUCACAUUAUAACUUGUAAUAUUAAACGGUAGAAUCUUAUUUAUUUGCUUUGACAUGCUGGAGAUGGAACCCAGCGAUCACACAUGCUAGGCAGGUUCUACGCUGAGCUACACCCAAGCCUGGAAUAGUUACAAUGUUAAACUCUGGAAGCAAACUUUCAUAAAUGGGUGGGGGUGAUUAAUUAAAUGUUGAUACAUAUAUUCAACAAAAAAUUAAGCAGCUAAUAAAAAGAUUUUUAAAGUUUCUAACAAGAUGGUGCGAUAAAAACCUUCCUAUAUACAAUUACUCUUCUAAGAAUCCCUUGAAGCUAGGCUUCCUGAUGUGAAUUAUUUGCAGACAAUUGAAUCACUUAUUCAAGAACCAAAGUGUAAGUCACUUUUCUGCUGCUGGAUUUCUGCCAGUAGGCCCAAGAAGUGAACACUUUUUUUUUUUGUGAUUGUUACGUGUGUGCACACAUGCAUUUUUGGCUGUGUUGACAGAGGUCCCAAUGACACUGCUCUGAAGCCAACAGUCCCAGAGGUGGUUUGCUGAUCCUGAGUCCCAGCUAGCAAGGCUAUUGCUGGAUUGACAAUGACAGUGGCAGCUUCCUAUCCUGCUGUUGUUGGCUAUGGCAGUGUCCACAGCUGCCCUGGCUGGCCAGUCCUGCAUGUGUUAUUCUUCUGGUGAACCAGCCUGGCUGCUCUCCCCAGUCCUCCCAAUAAUUUUGUUAGUGCUAAGGUCUCUCUGUUCAAUCCCUUUCCUCUUGAAAUAGCUCAUGUGAUUCCUAAUAUUGGCAAUUAAAUCCUGAGUGAUAUAAGUUGAAAUCAUACCAGUCCUAUAAGGCUUUAUAUAUUAUACGAAUGUAAUUAAGUAAAACAACAUAACUAUAUGUGGGAAUAUUCCAGAAUGAGGUUCCUUGAGCAUGUUUAGGUAGUAAGACUGGGAGUGGUCUUUCAAUUUACCUUUCCUUGCCUCCAUUUUAAUUUAAAAAAACUUGAAUUUAAAAAAAAUUGGGGGAGAUGCUAGGGAUUGAACCCAUACACAUGCUAAGCAUACCCUCUACCCCCAAACUAUACUCCAAUUUCUUUUUUCUUUUUAAAAAUACCACUUUACGGGCUGGGGUUGUAGCUCAGUGGUAAAAUGCUUGACUUGCAUGCGUGAGGCCCUGGUUCAAUCCUCAACACCACAUUAAUAAAUUAAAAUAAAGAUAUUGUGUCCAUCUACAACUAAAAAAAUUAAAAAGAAAAUACCACUUUACUGAGAUAUAAUCAUGUACUGUACAAUUUACUCAUUUAAAGUGUACAAUCCAAUGGUCUUAGAAUAUUUACAAAUAUGUCCAGUCUCACCGUAGUCAAUUAUGGAACAUUUUCAUCAGCUCACAAAGAAACCCCACACCCCAUGGCUGUUAACCCUUCAUCUGCAUUUCCUCUACUUUCUGUUUCUCUAUAUUCCCACACUCUAGAUUUUCAUAUGAACGGAAUCAUAAAGAAGAGGUCUUUUGUGUGACUGGCUUCUUUCACUUAUAUAAUGUUUUUGAGGUUCAUCCAUGUUGUAGUCUGUAUUACUACUUCAUUCCUUUUCACCGAUGAGUAACAUUCCACUGCACAGGGAGAGCACAUUUUGUUAUCCACUUAUCUAUCGAUGACAUUUGGGUGGUUCCACCUUUUGGCUGUUUCAGAUAACGCUGCUGUAUUGCCCAACUUUUAUUGACCAUGUUCUAAUUUUAUCAGUAUUUUGAAAAAAUUAUAACAAAGAAAAUCUGGUCUAUAUAGUACAUUAGGAGGAAGACAAUAUUGCAGAUUUUGUCCUUGCAUCAUUGGCCAGUAAACUGGGCACACACUGAAACUCCAAGCCAAGCUGCCUUUGGGUCACUGGAGACAGACCCAAGAUGCACAAGGGGACCUGUGCCCCAUCCAAAAGAAGGUGAAGCUUUACCCCUUACAUGACCUUAUGUGACCUUGGUGUCCUUGACUCCCACUUAUUUGGUCUUGUAUGCUGCCUACUCUAUCUGUGACCCCACAACCAGUGACUAGUCUGUACGUGGUGCUCUUGGGCUCCAGGGGAACGACAUGAGAGACUUGUCAACCCAUCUCCACUUCAGGAAGCAGCUCUGAAGCCAGGCAGGAGGACGAUUUUGGCAACAUCAUAGAAGUCACUUGACUUGACUUGUGGGAUUUGCACAUUGAAACUUCCCUUUACUGGCUGCUGGAAAUGUUCUGCAUCUCGACUUGGGACUCGUGUGGACAGUUCACCGGGCAGUACUCGUUAGAGUCUAUAUGUCAUUAUGUUUCACUGUGUGAAAGUUACAGCCCGAUUAAAGGAGGAAAUGGUCACACAUGGUCUUUCUCUGAUCUUCCUUUCAAACUCCCAUUCCAGCCACUUGCUCC